AUUCUACUCCCUCCGUUGCACAAUACAUGCCUUCUAUUUGUCAAAAUAUAUAUGUAUCUAUACAUGUUUUAGUAUAUAGGCACAUCCAUUUUUGGACAAAUGGAAGUCAAGUAUUUUGGAACGGAGGGAGUACACA
rfam:Triticum aestivum genome assembly, contig: Triticum_aestivum_CS42_TGACv1_scaffold_050201_1BS